rnacentral:rRNA from 1 species
AUGGCCUCGGAGGCGCCGCUCCUCGCCCGCGCGCCGCCGCUCGCGAGGUGGCCCGGGGCCAUCACCGUCUUCGCCGCCCCCGACGCCUUCCUCCAGGCCGCCUGCCCCAUGUGCUCGCGCCGCCACCUCCUCGAGCAGCACAUCGCCAUGGGCUACUACCCCUACUCCGAGCUCGCCGCCGCAGCCACCAUGAAGAUCCCCUCCGCCUCCGUCGGCUUCUGCAUCAAGGUCGCCACCGAGCGGGGCCCCUUCGGCAUCCACUACGCCAGGAUCUACGCCGACGGCGUCGAGGUGUCCCACCCCGAGCUCUACAACGACGGCCGCUACGUCGUCCACGGCCUCCACGGCUUCCUGCGCCCGCUCACGCACUCCUGCUUCGACGGCCCGCACCACCACCACCUCACGAGCCGCUCCGCCGCAGCCUCCGCGGCGACUGCUUCCUCCGUGGUGCGCAUCAUGAUCCGCGACGCCAUGGCGCGACUCCGUGACGGGGGCUACGGCUUCAUGGCGCUGGCCAUGCGCGUCAAGUUCGCCGAGCUCGAGAAGUUUGCCAACCUGACGCUCUUCGCGCUCGACGACCCGGCCAUCUUCGUCGGCGGAGGCCACGACUACGUCUCGGCGGUGCGCUUCCACAUCGUCCCCAACCACCGCCUCACGCGCGCAGACCUCCACCGCCUCCGCCCCGGCACGGUGCUCCCCACGCUGGCCGGCGAGGGCCAGAGCCUCGUCGUCACCCACUACGCCACCGGCUCAGCCUCCUCCAACGACGACGUCCGCAUCAACUACAUACCCAUCAAGGAGCCCGACGUGGUGGUCAACUCGCGCAUUGCCGUCCACGGCGUCUACGUGCCGUUCCCCCGCCUCCACCUCGCCGACCUCGCCGUCGCGUCCGCCACCGACCAGACGAACGGCACCUGCGGCGUGGGGGAGCCCUUCGGCGACUGCGCCUCCUCAGCGAUCACCUCUCCGAAGAGGCAAGUAGCUCCCGGCGAGUGA